GGAUAAGAAGCGAAUUGGUUAGCAGGCUGUCCUGAAAACAGUUGGUCGUUAUGCGACUUGCAGGUUCGAACCCUGUCUUAUCCG
rnacentral:tRNA from 1 species